AUAUUUAUUUAUUCAAUGUAUAGGUUCUUAAAUGGAGCAACAACUAUUCAUAUUGAAGGUAAAAUUUGGAGGAUAUUUUAAAAAGGUUAAGAAUUCUAUAAGAUUUAAGUACUACUUUGGAAAACAAAAGAGCUGGUUAGUUGAUGUUGACUGUUAUUGCUACAAGGAUCUAUAUGAUGAUAUAGUGCAUACCUUCAAUUUGAAGCUUGAAGAGACCAUAAAGAUUUAGUCUGUGAUUAGACAUUUAAUGCCUAAGUCUUACAUGAUAUUAGACACAGAUCAAAAAUUGAUGAGUUUGUUUGAGGAGUACAAGGAUUUAAAAGAGUGCUUCAUAUUU
rnacentral:lncRNA from 1 species